rnacentral:rRNA from 1 species
AGCGCAGACGGUUGAUUAAGUCUGAUGUGAAAGCCCGGAGCUCAACUCCGGAAUGGCAUUGGAAACUGGUUAACUUGAGUGCAGUAGAGGUAAGUGGAACUCCAUGUGUAGCGGUGGAAUGCGUAGAUAUAUGGAAGAACACCAGUGGCGAAGGCGGCUUACUGGACUGUAACUGACGUUGAGGCUCGAAAGUGUGGUAGGCAAACA